ACAACCUAUGCACAUUGAUUAUCAAGUAUUAUCUCUUUGGCUACUGGAGUUGAUUGGGAUAAACAAGUGGUGAUCAUCCAUUUCUACCUUCCUCUCAUCAUUAUACUUUUGAUUAUAUAAGAUUGACUCUAGCAUCACUUUUUUAUUCACACCCUUUAUCCUUACUUUUGAAUUUUAUAAAUCUCUCCUAGAGUUACUCCGAGUCUUUCGUUUUUGUUUUGAGGUUUCCCUAUAAUCUGUACAUUUUCCUUAUUUUUAAUACUGAAGCUUGUUCUAAGAUGAUUUCUCCUGGGUUUUAGUGAAGGUAAGGAAAAACUUUUGGUGAGGCUCGGGGGAAGGGAAGACGGUAGAAAUCACACCCGUUUUGUUCACCAUUUCCUCGAUAAUACAAAGGGGCAUUUUUCUCAUCUCUACUUUGGCAAUUUUAGAUCCAGCCGGCUAGAGAUUAUGGGACCUCUUUAGGGGUGUCUCUCUACAGCGAGUUGGGGUUUGCUUCCACUCACAGAUCCUAUGGGAGCCUUUUGGAUAAAAUUCUUCAAAUCCAUCCAUUUCCAAAAUUUUUCAAAUGGACCUAUCUCUGAUGAUAGCACAUAGAGAUAUAGUGUGCAAAGUCAUCUGAUCAUUAGCAUUAGGGUCGGUCUCCUAUUAUGAGCUUGUUGGCUUUAUGAUGUCCUAUCCUGUACCAAAUUUAUGUAUGCUGAAAAGGGUUGCUCGGAUGGAUUCCAUACAAACAAGAAGGAAAUCAUUUUGGGCCUAAAUAUAUGGCAUCAUGCAUAUUUCUUGUUGUUUUAGGAGAUCUUCAUUGUUCCCAUGUUUAAAAGUCUCAUUUUUAAUGAUUUUCCUUUAUGUAUUAACUCUGUAAAUGACUCUUAGAACAACAUUUAUACUGCACAUUCAUUUAUUUUGUAUGUUUUUGCUAAAGCCAUCCUUCGCUAAAAAUUACAAUCUUUGAGGCACCUCUUUGGGUGUCUUACCUCUUU
rnacentral:lncRNA from 1 species